ACGUGUGUUGUUGAGUCCUCCAAUGUCUGUAGAGUCCACUUAUGAGUGUCGCUGAGUCCUCCAGUGUCCUUUUGAGUCCUCCUAGGGCUGUUAUUGAGUCCUCCAACAGGCGUCGCUGAGUCCUCCAGCGUCCUUUGAGUCCUCCUACAUGUGUUGUUGAGUCCUCCCACGGGUGUUGUUGAGUCCUCCAAUGUCUGUUGAGUCCUCCUACGUGUGUUGUUGAGUCCUCCAAUGCCUGUAGAGUCCACUUACGAGUAUCCCUGAGUCCUCUAGUGUCCUUUUGAGUCCUCCUAGGGCUGUUAUUGAGUCCUCCAACGGGCGUCGCUGAGUCCUCCAAUGCCUGUAGAGUCCUCCUAUGGGUGUCGCUGAGUCCUCCAGCGUCCUUUUGAUUCCUCCCACGUGUGUUGUUGAGUCCUCCAAUGGCUGUAGAGUCCACUUACGAGUAUCCCUGAGUCCUCCAGCGUCCUUUUGAGUCCUCUGCCGGGUGUUGUCGAGUCCUCCAGCACCAGACGAGUCCUCCAACAACCAUCCCAGUCCUCCUGUCAUCCCAGGUACCGCCGCCGUCGCCUUGGCAGGUCUUUUAGCAGCCCAGAAAACAACGGGAAAACCUUUAACAGAACACCAACUUUUAUUUCUCGGGGCCGGAGAGGCAGCGUUGGGCAUUGCAAACCUCAUUGUUAUGGCCAUGGUGGAGAACGGGGUUCAAAUCGACGAGGCGCGUCGGAGGAUUUGGAUGUAUGACAAGCACGGGUUGGUCCUCCAGGUACAACCAUCCCGAAA